CCGGGAGGGGCCCUGGGCCACUCUGGUUGGCUGCGCCCCGGAGCUCACUGUCCGGCCCAUUUUAAACUUGGUCCCGCCGGACGUCCUCCCUUUUCCGCCGCAGCGCGCUCCUGGUGCUGUGGUUCUAUGCCCAGGGUGUUAAUGAACACAAGCUUGCUGGCUUGAGAUGAACUGGUACAACUUUGAGAAGAAAAGGAAAUGCCGUGAAAUUACCUGACGGUGAGUAAGUCUACCAUCACCUGCCAGCCUAUCCUGCUUUGACCCCUCAUCAACCCUGCUCAGUUAGAAAAGACUGUCUCCCUUAUCCUGUACUGUUGCAAGGUAGCCCUCUGAUAUGGUCACAUGGCUGCCUGAACUUAACCUGGGCAAAUAGCCAUUAGGAAAUAGAUUUCUCAGGAAUCUUGAGACUCGGAGACUUUGUUUCUUAUUCCUGCCUAAAUGGCCAGCUGUCAUUGGAAAGGGAACAUCAUAAAUGUGGCCUGGUUACAUCAGGCACAGACCCCUACUCCGGGGCCUGGCUGGGGCUUCUGUUUUGCCUAUAAAAGAAAACAAAACACUGCCCACAAGGGAGAAAUCCGCCCUAACCUUUCAAAAGCCCUAGAAAACCUAAUCUGCUCUCCCUGGCCAAGAUGCUCUACUCUUGGCAGCCCUGCAGGUGAUUUCCAAUAAACUUUUCCUGUCUCUGGUGUA